rnacentral:rRNA from 1 species
UACGUAGGUGGCAAGCGUUUGUCCGGAAUUAUUGGGCGUAAAGCGCGCGCAGGCGGUUCUUUAAGUCUGAUGUGAAAGCCCACGGCUCAACCGUGGAGGGUCAUUGGAAACUGGGGGACUUGAGUGCAGAAGAGGAAAGCGGAAUUCCACGUGUAGCGGUGAAAUGCGUAGAGAUGUGGAGGAACACCAGUGGCGAAGGCGGCUUUCUGGUCUGUAACUGACGCUGAGGCGCGAAAGCGUGGGGAGCAAACAGG